CCUCUCUCAGGACUGUACCUGGAGAGUUUCCAGUACUCUACCAGUCUCGGUUAUAGGAGGGAGAGUCAAGCAGAAGCAUACCCAUUCCAUUCCGAGCAUGGGCACUGGCUAGUGAAUGGAAGGCAAUCUGCUACAAGU